rnacentral:misc_RNA from 1 species
GAAAUGCGAUAAGUAAUGUGAAUUGCAGAAUUCAGUGAAGCAUCGAAUCUUUGAACGCACAUUGCGCCCGCCAGUAUUCUGGCGGGCAUGCCUGUUCGAGCGUCAUUUCAACCAUCAAGCCCCCGGGCUUGUGUUGGGGACCCUGCGGCUGCCCGCAGGCCCUGAAAUGCAGUGGCGGGCUCGCUAUCCACACCGAGCGCUGUAGCAUCACACCUCGCUCAGGGCGUGCGUCGGGCUCCGGCCGUUAAACGCGACCUUAACGCAUACCAUGGUUGACCUCGGAUCAGGUAGGAAGACCAGCUGAACUGAA